rnacentral:tRNA from 1 species
GCGAUUGUGGUGUAACGGCAGCAUGGAAGCCUGUGGAGCUUUCGGACCGAGUUCAACUCUCGGCGUUCGCC